rnacentral:rRNA from 1 species
CAGCAGCCGCGGUAAUACGAAGGGUGCAGGCGUUACUCGGAAUUACUGGGCGUAAAGCGUGCGUAGGUGGUGGCUUAAGUCCGUUGUGAAAGCCCUGGGCUCAACCUGGGAAUUGCAGUGGAUACUGGCAAGCUAGAGUGUGUCAGAGGAUGGUGGAAUUCCCGGUGUAGCGGUGAAAUGCGUAGAGAUCGGGAGGAACAUCAGUGGCGAAGGCGGCCAUCUGGGACAACACUGACGCUGAGGCACGAAAGCGUGGGGAGCAAACAGGAUUAGAUACCCGCGUAGUCCCUGUCUCUUAUAC